rnacentral:rRNA from 1 species
CCUACGGGAGGCAGCAGUAGGGAAUCUUCCGCAAUGGACGCAAGUCUGACGGAGCAACGCCGCGUGAGCGAUGAAGGUCUUCGGAUCGUAAAGCUCUGUUGUCAGGGAAGAAUAAGUACCGUUCGAAUAGGGCGGUACCUUGACGGUACCUGACCAGAAAGCCACGGCUAACUACGUGCCAGCAGCCGCGGUAAU